GUCAAUAACACUUACGAACAGUUAAAGGUAACUGGGAAACCGGCCAUAGUAGUCAUAAAAUAAAUGCUAACUUGAUUAUGAUGUUAAAAUUUCCCCUGAUGCCAUCGUGAUGGUAUUUACAAGCUCAACAGGACUGAGGAUUUCAUUAAUUUUUCAUUUUAACAUUGUGUUGGUUUACAUAAUAAUUGUUUUUUUUUUCUUUUAGGUACACUUAAGUUAGGAUUGAAUGAGUUUCCGAACAAAUAUUUCUAAAGUGAUAUGCAGCUUUGGACGUGCGACGUUAUGGUUCGAGUGUUGUAUGAAUAAUAUUUAUUUUAGGACGGCUAAUUUAAAGGUUUUUGGUUAUUAAUAAAACAUUUAUAACAA